rnacentral:rRNA from 1 species
CCUACGGGAGGCAGCAGUGGGGAAUAUUGCACAAUGGGGGAAACCCUGAUGCAGCGACGCCGCGUGAGUGAAGAAGUAUCUCGGUACGUAAAGCUCUAUCAGCAGGAAAGAAAAUGACGGUACCUGACUAAGAAGCCCCGGCUAACUACGUGCCAGCAGCCGCGGUAAUACGUAGGGGGCAAGCGUUAUCCGGAUUUACUGGGUGUAAAGGGAGCGUAGAAGGCGCUGCAAGUCCGGAGUGAAAGCCCAUGGCUUAACCAUGGUACUGCUCUGGAGACUGUAGAGUUUGAGUGCGGGAGGGGCAGGCGGAAUUCCUAGUGUAGCGGUGAAAUGCGUAGAUAUUAGGAGGAACACCGGCGGCGAAGGCGGCCUGCUGGACCGUAACUGACGUUGAGGCUCGAAAGCGUGGGGAGCAAACAGGAUUAGAUACCCCGGUAGUC